rnacentral:rRNA from 1 species
AGUGAACGCUGGCGGUAGGCCUAACACAUGCAAGUCGAACGGCAGCACAGUAAGAGCUUGCUCUUACGGGUGGCGAGUGGCGGACGGGUGAGGAAUACAUCGGAAUCUACUUUUUCGUGGGGGAUAACGUAGGGAAACUUACGCUAAUACCGCAUACGACCUACGGGUGAAAGCAGGGGAUCUUCGGACCUUGCGCGAUUGAAUGAGCCGAUGUCGGAUUAGCUAGUUGGCGGGGUAAAGGCCCACCAAGGCGACGAUCCGUAGCUGGUCUGAGAGGAUGACAGGCACAACGGAAACGGGACAAGGGUCAGAACUCUUAGGGGGGGCAGAGGUGGGAAAAAUUGAAAAUGGGGCGAAGCCCUGACCAGGCCAAACCGGGUGGUGAAGAAGGCCUUCGGGUUGUAAAGCCCUUUUGUUGGGAAAGAAAAGCAGCAGGUUAAUACCCCGCUGUUCUGACGGUACCCAAAGAAUAAGCACCGGCUAACUUCGUG